rnacentral:tRNA from 1 species
UAUGUUAUAGUUUAAUAAAAAUAUUAAAUUGCAAAUUUAAAGAUAUUAUUAUAUAUAAUUAGUAUAU